GAUGAACGCUGGCGGCGUGCCUAACACAUGCAAGUCGGACGGUGCCUUCGGGCACAGUGGCGCACGGGUGAGGAACACGUAGCCAACCUGCCCUGGAGCGCGGGAUAACGCCCCGAAAGGGGUAGGCUAAGACCGCCUACGCUCGCCGGAUGUAGAGGCCGGUGAGGAAAACCUAACGGUGCUCUGGGAGGGGGCGUGCGGCCCACUCAGGUAGUUGGUGGGGUAAGUGGCCUACCAAGCCGACGACGGGUCGGGGCGUGAGAGGAUGAUCCCCCACCACU
rnacentral:rRNA from 1 species